AUGUGUAUAUAUGUGUGUGUAUAUAAAAAUAUAUAUAUAUAUAUAUAUUUUUAUAUACACACACACACACACACACAUUAAACACACACACAC
rnacentral:miRNA from 1 species